AUCCCACGUGCUGGGGAUUUUUCUGCUCCACACUCUACUUUGCUCCUCGUGUGCCCUGAAGAAAGAGGACGUGCUCCCUGGACUUUCUGUGGCAAGAGCUGGCAGGUUGGGAGGCCAGGAAAAGAGCACCUGUUUUCUGUUGUGCUGAGCUCCAUGGAAGCCAUACAGGAAGUUUGUAAGCAGGAAAAGUGAGGUUGGAGGCAUGAGAGAAGGCAAUGAAGAGGAUUUAAUAGAUAAAAUUGGGCUGCCAAUAGGGGCAGCGUGGUGGUGCAGGGGGUUAAUGCCCUGGCCUAAAGUGCCUGCAUCCUAUAUGGGCUCCGGUUCACGACCCGGCUGCUCUGCUUCAUGUCCAGCUCUCUGCUAUGGCCUGGGAAAGCAGUAGAAGAUGGCCCAAGUCCUUGGGCCCCUGUAUCCAUGUGGGAGACCUGGAAGAAGCUCCUGGCUUCUGGCCUUGGAUCGGUGCAAC